rnacentral:tRNA from 1 species
GCGCCUGUAGCUCACCUGGAUAGAGCAAGAGUUUCCUAAACUCUGGGCAGCAGGUUCGACUCCUGCCAGGCGCACUA